CACUAUCAACACUUUUGAAUCAGUAUCCCUUGCUUUUAGGAAUUGAAUCGUAUCCUCUUUUUUCAACAAUUGAAUGGCACUUUCAGCAAUUGAAUUAGUCAAGAGAAGAUACACUUUAUAUAAAUUGCAUCUCUUCUGUCAGCCGAUUAAAACCCUAAAAUGUUGAACUCUCUCAAUCGGCGACCAACGCCUACCAGUAGAAGAUGUAGAUGACGACCAGGCAAAUAUCUAUAGAUUACACCUGCCUUCACUCAUAUCUCCCCCAUACAACUCUUGGGGCAACUGAUUGCACAACAACAGAUAUACAAUCGAGUUGCUUCGGGUCAAACACGAUCCAACGCCACAGUCAAACAGCCAUCUCUCUCACAACCACCGUUUCCCGUCAUUGCCAAGACCUACACAUGUUUGAUAACAUGAAAUCUACCUAAAAGAAUCCACCUUGAUCUCUUUAUCGCCCAAUCGGUUGUUUUUUCAAUUAGACAUAUGUUAUGCUGCUUUUUAGUUAUAAGAUAAUUGUUUGUGUUAUUAUUUUUGUCGUUGUGAUGAAAAUUUUGGAGCUCUGGAGAAGUCGGAGGGAUGAUUUAUAGAUUCCAGUUACUAGGUAAAAGUUUAGUAUUUUUUUAAUGUUAUUAGCAAAGCCCCUUUUGGUGUCGUAUCACCUCGACCAUUCCCGUCGUCUUCCUAUGAUUUAUGGUCGAGUCUUUAAAGGCCAUCCUUCAAUCUGGGUCAAAGUGAAACAUAUCAUAGUUGUGAAUGGAAAGCUGUUGAUGGGCAAAAUUGGCAGAAACAAGUAUGGAAGCGGGCUUUUGACAUACAUUUUUCUUAAUUUUCUCGUGUUUUGUGCUUGGAUUUAACCCUCUUUCUUGUGUUUGGUUAUUAUUGUCAAGAAAAUAUACAUGGACUUUAAGGUGUACUCUGGAUACUGUUUUUGCUACUGAUGAAAGUGUAUUUUUGACAUACAUUUUUUCUAAUAUUCCUAUGUUUUGUUCAUACAUAUGGUUGAAUAUCACAAAUCAGUUAUUUGAUGUUUUCAUCCCUUUGGAAGUGAAAUAUCAAUAUUUGUUAAGUUGUAUGAUUAUUGUUGUAGUUUUCUUAUUUCCAUCGUUAAUGCUUAAUACACUUGAAAUCUUGAAUCUUGAUAGGCUACAUGUGAGAAUCUGACUAGAAAGAGAAGAAUUAUGAUGAUCUGAGGGUUCUUCUAUUGAAUUCUUGAAGUAUGUACAUUUUUUACACUUACAAACACUAAAACUGGAGCUUUUUACUUCAUCACAAGCUGCUUUUUAUCACCUUUUUGUUUUGAUUACUUUUUUUUUAUAUUUAGUUAUCAGGGGUUUAUUUAUUGUUCAAAUGCAAAUAACAAAAAACUAUUAAGUUUUUUUUUUAUUCCUGUUGAAGUAUUGGUGCCUCACGAAAGCAAAUUGUUAUUUACAGGUAAGUACAUGCAGGGACGGAGGAUUGAGACAGUUUGCCUCUAUUUGAUAAUCAUUAAGUUUAUUCUCAUAUAUGGUUCAUUUGUGAAUAAUAUUCUUGGUAUUAUUGGAUCCAUAUCUUAAUUA